GGACACAAAGCCAAACCAUAUCACCACCACAUAGAAAUGAGAACUACUCAAGGUGAGAUAAGCCAUGAAUACCUAGUCUUGAUCAUUACAUAUCCUAUACAUGUAACAAAAUAUCACAUGUACCCCAUAAGUAUGUACAAAUAUUAUGUAUGUUAUAUACAUAAUCUUUCUCUCUCUCUAUCUCUUGCUCCUGCUUUUGCCAUGUGAAGUACCUGCUCCUGCUUUGCCUUCCACCAUAAAUAAAAGCUCCCUGAGGCCACCCCGGAAGUGGAAGGAUGAUGGUGCCAUGCUUGUAUUCCCUGCAGAACCGAUGAUGAAGAAGUAUCUACUCUGGAAUUACUUCGUACAAAAAAAGAAGGUGGAGAACUGUCAGAGAAAUCAAAACAAAGACCUGAUUGAAAAAAUAUGAGAAAUUAAGUGGCCAUAAAUCACUAUGUUCAAAUGGUCUUCAUCUAAAACUUCUGAAAGAGUUAAAGAAGGAUGUAGCUAAGCUACCACCAAAAAUGUAUCAACACCUUCCAUCAAAGAGGAGGGUGAUGAAUGCCCAUCAAUCUUUAAGAACAGUUCAGUGUUACUUGUAAGGUUAGGUUUUAAUAAAAAACAUGGUGUUGUCUAGAAUUAUUCAAGUCUUUAAAAAGGAGUGUAUUUGUCCCCUUGUGGAAACUGUGUACUUUUACAAUUAGUUGUUUCUGGAAAAGUUUCUCCACACAUAGCCUUUCUUUCUUGUUUUGUUUGUUCUGUUGUUGUUUUUAUUGUAAUUUUUAAGUGUUUCUACAUGAGUUUACUACCCUGAACAUUACUGAACACUGC
rnacentral:lncRNA from 1 species